CUCUCAGUGGCGAAGUUGUUAGCGCACGAGCCCCAGUCAGCGCGAGACGCGGGUUCGAAUCCCGCCUGAGACG
rnacentral:tRNA from 1 species